UCGUCGUACACCUCGCUGCACACCUCUCCGUCAAGUCAACGGUUCUGUAGGCGCAUUUAAUUUUAAUUUGGAGGGAGUUUAAUCUCUGGCUCGCUCCUCCCACACAAACUUCCACGCCGUGAACAAUCCAAACAAGAAACGAGAUUGGAAUCGGAUGGCAGAGAGCGGCGGUGGUGGAGCGGCGGCCCCCAGAGCUGGCCAGCCGCCGCGGCCCACCAUCUCCCUCCCUCCCCGCGCCGCCUACGAGUCCCUCUUCCACGGCGGAGCUGCUGGCGGCGGGGGCCCGUCGGAGGUCAGCCCCGGCCCGCUGACGCUGGUAUCGAGCUUCUUCGCCGAGGACUCCGAUUCGGAGUUCCGAUCCUUCACGCAGCUACUCCAGGGGGCGAUGAAUUCCCCCGUUGGGGUGCCGCCGCCCCGGCGGCCGACUGGGGAGGAGGCGAAGGAGGCGGAGAGGGAUUCGGGCGGGGAGGUGGAGAGGAGAGAAGAGGGUGGGUUGGGGCGGCAGAACGUGGAGAUGACUCGGCCUCCUCAGAUCUUUACCGUGCCUCCGGGACUCAGCCCCACUGGCUUGCUGGGUUCUUCUCCUCUCUUUUCGCCUGGUCUGGGGAACUUCGGAAUGUCCCAUCAACAGGUGCUAGCUCAAGUCACAGCCCAGGCUGCCCAGUCUCAAGUUAAAAUGCUCAGUGAAGCUGAAUGUUCAUCUUCCCUUUCAGUGGCAACGGCCACAUCCUUGGCACAGAACACAAGCUCUGCUAUCCAUACAACACCAACCCAAGAAAUGUCAACUCUGACAUCAAACACAGAUAAUAGCACCUUUGAAUCUGCAGAGGGCUCUCAUUAUGAUCAAAGAUCUCAACCUACAGCCCUUAUUGUUGAUAAACCUGCCGAUGAUGGCUAUAAUUGGAGAAAAUAUGGACAGAAGAUGGUGAAGGGCAGUGAAUAUCCUCGGAGCUACUACAAAUGUACACAUCCAAACUGUCCAGUUAAGAAAAAGAUAGAGCGCUCCCUUGAUGGCCAAAUAACUGGGAUAAUCUACAAGGGUCAACACAAUCAUCAGCAUCCCCAACCAAAUAAGCGUGCCAAGGAAGUUGGUACUUUGCCAAGCGGCUCCAAUGAAUUCAAUGGGAACCCUGGAAUUCCUACUAACUCCGAACCAGGUUCCCAGGCUUACCCUCGAAACUUCAGCAGAUCAGAUGAGACUAUGGCCGCCCCUUCAGCAUCUAAGAGAGAUCAAGAAUCUAGUUACGGAACACCUGAACAAUUAUCUGGUGCAAGCGACGGUGAAGAAGCAGGUGAUGUUGAAUUGAGAACAGAUGAAGGUGGUGAUAAUGAGCCAGAUCCUAAAAGAAGGAACAUACUAACUUCUUCACAAAGGACGGUGACAGAGCCCAGGAUCAUUGUUCAGACGACAAGUGAGGUUGAUCUUCUGGAUGAUGGUUAUAGGUGGCGCAAGUAUGGGCAGAAAGUGGUGAAAGGAAAUCCUAAUCCAAGGAGUUACUACAAAUGCACUUAUGCUGGAUGCAAUGUCAGGAAGCAUAUAGAGAGAGCUUCGACAGACCCUAAGGCUGUUAUUACAACAUAUGAGGGAAAACACAACCAUGAUGUGCCUGCUGCCAGGAACAGCAGCCAUAACACAGCUAAUGCCAGUGGCGCUUCCAACUGCUUACAACCAAAAGGACAAAAUACCAUAUCCAAUAAUCAGGCUUCAUUUAAGGGAACAUACUACAGAAACAAUGAUCAAAGACCAGUUGCAGUAUUAGAGCUGAAAGAAGAGCACGAAAUCAUUUAAUUUUUCAAGCAGUGGACUCCAAAUUAUCAGAUUUGGACAGGGAGUUUUGCAGCUGGAACAUUAAUUAAAGCUCGUCCUGUGUUGUUGCGUCUGAUUAAUCCAGCAUCUACCUAAAUCCCUCUUAUGGCAAUUACUGUUCAUUUAUGCAUUCCUGUAGGACCCUCCUUGUCAGGUAUCAAUAUCUCUCCAUUCCAUUCCCCUGGCGAGCCACAGGUUUCAUGGAAAGUGCAGUUUGUCUCAAGCUGCUGUGAUUAACACUAACACAGCGAUCGCACUGAUUAAUUAGCUUGUCAAAGCUCGUGGUGCAGACACAAGAAUGCGAAUCUGGACCACCAAAUCAAUUGACUCAGUAAUUUGGAUAACCAGGCACAUGAUGCAGAUUUUUAUCAGGAUAUAAGAUUACGUGCCAUCGAGUUUCCAUCAGGAGCACCCCACCUGGAAGAAGUUCCAAAAAUAAUUGAGGAAACAUCUCCCAAAAAUUGAACUUAGAACCUCCGGAGGGAUCUUGUUUCUCUAUGUACCAAUUAGCUAGUCUGGGUGAUACAUACACAUCUCAACCAAUUUGUGCAAGUGAAAGGGGAACCCGAGUUCAAUUUGUGAUGAUGGAAUCUCAAUAGUUUUCAUUCCAUUGAUUAUUGAAGCUAUUUUCGAUCAUCGAGUGCAACUCAGGAUAGGCAUCGAGAAUUAAAUUAGGAGCUCACUCUCAAAUUUAUUUGUGCAUUUAAAGGCAGCCAUACUCCCAACAUGAGUUCCAAGGUAUGUGGUGUUUUUCCCUUGGCCAAAUGGCUCUCUGUUUUUUUUUUGGCUAUGCUUUGCAACAGACCUAAUUCUCCCAUCUACCCUAUGGGGCUCGUUUGGUUCGCGGGAAGCAUUUUUUCUUCUAGAAAUAUGAUUCCUGUAAAGCAGAUUUUUGGAAAGAGGAUGCCUGAGAAAGUGACAUAUUUGCAGAGUGCUUAUAAUUGGUUGACCAUCCACUUUUCUAGAAAAGUUAUGUGUAAUUUAUAUUAUACUCUUAAUAAAAAUUAGGUCUUUAAUAUCUCUUUAAUCCUGAAGGGCUUUUUUGGAAAAAAAAUAAAAAUGGAGUGAUUUCUGGCUCAUAGGAAAGUUACCAUGUUUUUCAUGGGAAAGACUUUCCCAACGUGGGAAUCAUAUUUUCAUGGAAAUACAACUUUUCCGUCCUUUGAAAACUCCAAUCAAAUAAGAAGCAUUUUAUUACUUUUCUGUUGACCACAUUUUUUCUUCUUUUUCCGCGAACCAAACGAGCUCUUGGAGUAAGUCAAAUACAUUAUACAAUACGAACUGCAAUAUUUGGUGGGCUUUGAGAUUCUCUUGUACUCAGAGAAUCAUGUGGUGGGAAUGAUGUUUCCAGUGCUUAUCAGACUUUAUAUAGCCUCUAUUUGUGUAUGCACGUGCGGCCACGCAAGCAUCCAUCCUCCUCCCUUUUGCUUGUGCGCGUGUGCACGUGUGCAUGCACAAAAUUCUCUUAUUUAUUCAAGAACACAAGUGACCAUUCACAGGCAGUUUAAAAUAUAUGCAAUUGAAAAGUAUCAUUCAAUAAACUAACUUGAUAUUCUCCUGGCACCUAAGCUUAAAGAAAAAUAUCUCACCUAAUCUUGACUCCCCCUUUUUGGUCAUGACCAACUUUAAUCAACUUGAUUUCAACAGAAGCACAACACAAGUGGUGAAGGCACUCACUAGCUAAUUAGCCAAAAAAACUUUUAUGUUCUCAUAUUCUUAAGAAGAAUUCAAACCACAAAGUGCAUCCUCUUGUUAAUCCUGAGUCCGACAACCCAUUAAUCCAAAUCCAAUAAGUGCAAUGAAACUUUUAGGACAGCUAAAGCUUGAUGAUGCUCUUAAAAAAGCAGCAAUCACCAUCAUUUGUGGGCUGGAUUUCAACUCAAUCCACCCAAGAUUUUGUGGCAGGUCCACCAACAGUCAUGUGGCUCUUGUGGGUCCCAAUGGUUGAAACAAGACCUGGCUGAGCCAAGAUUUCCUUUCCAAUUUUGUGGGUCCCAUGCUCAGUGGUGUCAGCUGUAUGGAAAGGAAAUCUUGGCUCAACCAGGUCUUGUUUCAACCCUCUUUCCCUCCCUCUUUCCUCAAAUCUUUCUUCCCCAGAUAAUAAAUAAUAGGACCUCUUCUUCUCACUUUGACCUAGCCUUCUCUUGCCUGCGCCUUGGUCGCCAUUUCCUUUUAUUUGCCACUUGAUCUUUUGUCAACAACUACAGCUUGCGUGCUGGCCAGGCUGCCAAGCAUUGCCUUAUUAGUUGUUAGGAUUUAUUUAAACCACGUAGGUGGUAAAAAUUCUUGGCUCAUAAGCCUAUCCACUCUUGUGACCCAGCAAAUAUUCCGAGUCCAAACUUGUUCACAAGCCAA